rnacentral:lncRNA from 10 species
CCUCUCCUUUCCAGUCCAUAAAAACCCCAGAACGGGCCCCAUAAUGGGUACUCCCGGUCGGGACCCCUUCUCUGCUGGCAGAGAGCUUUUUCCUUUCGCUUAUUAAACUUUCGCUCUAACCUCACCUUUGUGUCUGCGCUCCUUUAUCGUCUUGGAGGCAGGACAAAGAACUCCGGGCGUUAUCUCAGACAAAGAAAGGCUGUUUAAUCUUCAGGAUAAGGGGCGGGACCUCCACCUACUCCACGGGGGCUUCAGGCCAGUGAAUGUGUAGGGGCGGGGGUCACGCCUGCGCAGACGUUCCCUCCCCGCCUACUCCAAGGCACAGACCUGAAAUCUUCUGGGAACCUGGCGGGUCGCGACAAGGGGCCAAGACUCACCUUCGGGGCACCGGCAAGCUACGGAACAGGUGGCGGGGCUGCAGCACCCCAAUGACCGAUCAACCGCAAAGGCCGGAAAUGCGUCAGCCGUUCUGAGCCCACUGGCUGAAGCCAGGCAACUCUUUCCUUUCUAGGAAUUCCAGAGGUGGCUGCUGCUUGGUGACUCCCUUAUUGCAAACCCCGGGGCCAAAAAUCCCAGUCCCACUGGGUGCGAGGCGGAGAAAUCCGGCGAGGCAUUUCUAUGGGGAGCGGCCCCCAGCAUUUAGGAGUUAGAUGGUCAUCGAGACCCAAAACAUUAGAGCCGGAAGGUGUUAGGAAGAUAUAAACGUAGAGAGCGAGUAACAGGAGGCAAUUCCACGGCCAAACAGGUUUAUUUACAGGAAAAGCCUGCGAAGAGUUCCAGUUAGGAAUCUGGCUGAGAUCCUGAUCGCUUACAAGCUGAGGCUUUUAUAAUAAAGUUUCUGUUGGGGAGGGGUUGGGGAAGUGCUGGCUAGUUGGAACUGUUUGGACACUUUCCAACUGGGGACAGAUGUGGUUAGGGCCGUUAGGCUCUGUUGCGGUUAGAGCUGUUAUGCUCUGUUGAAGCUAUGGACGGGGUUGACAUUUGCUUUGUUUCUUGAGAACACAGUCAUCAAGGUUGUAAAAUGGCAUCACUAUUGUUAGUCCUCACAGAAGGGACUUCAUACUUUUUCUGUCUCUAAUACUUACCUAUUCUUCCCCGAGUCUGUCCACUUCCUCUGGUCUCUUUGACAUCACAAAGGAGAGAUGGUAAUGGUGGGGACGAGAAUACAGAGUUGUUUUUGUUGUGGUUUUGUUAUUUUGUGUUUUACACUCAAACCUCUGUCUUCUGGAAUCCCAAAGUCUAGAAGAAGAGCGUGUAAACAAGUAACUGCGUAAAACAGACGUGCAUGUGAAAUGAAGUAAAAUAAAAUAAGUGCUUGUAAAUCGAUGAGAAUAGCCUCUGGAACAUGCUAAGUACGUAUGUAGGAAAUAAAUGUAUGUAUUAGUUUGAAUUCGUGGCGUGGAAGAGAGAGGAAAACUAAUGGGGCAAAACAAGACUCAGCAGGAAUCUGCCAGUGUACACUGGAAAAGGAGCAAAGGAAAUAAAUUUCUGGGAGAGGGAAUCAAAUGUACAAAAGCAGAACUGGGGUGAAAUCCUUUGGUACAUCCAAAGAACUGGGCUGAUCAGCAUGACUGGAGAGUGGUAUAUGUGGCAGGGGCACCAGCUCUUACUUUUUUUGGAUCCCUAACCAAGGAAUUUGAGCAGUCUGAUCAAAUUUACAUCUAGAAAUGUUAUCUUGGCAGCCAUGUGGGGAUGGACUGUAAGGAAAUGAGACUACAGGCAGGGAGACCAGCUAGGAGACUACUACAAGAAUCCAGGGUAGAGAGAGUGAGGGCCUGAAUCAAGGCAGUAGCAAUAGAAAUAGAGAAGACAGAUAAUACAUGUUAAGAGGUUGAAUUGAUUUUUUACAACUCAUUCAUUAAUUAUAUAGAUUCCCAUUGAAUGCGAUCUUUGUGCCAAGGGCUUGCUGGAUAUAAUAAUAAUGAAGGACACAAGGUCCUCAUCCUCAUGGGGUUUAUAAUGUAACAAGGAAUACAGACAGAAAGAGACCCAGCUUAUACAAUUCAAGAGACCUUAUUUGAGAAAAGGAAUACAAAAUUACAAGUACAAACAUAGAUAUGAAAAUGGAGACUUAAGUCAGGUGUAAUAGCUCACGCCUGUAAUCCCAACACUUUGAGAGGCCGAGAUGGGAGGAUCUCUUGAGUCCAGGAGUUCAAGACAAGCCUGGGCGACAUAGUGAGACUCUGUCUCUGCAAAAAAUAAAAAAUAUUAUCCAGGCACAGUUACUCAUGCUAUUAGUCUCAGCUACUGGGGAGGCUGAGCAGGGAUAAUCACCAGCUGCAGUAGCCAUGAUCGUGCCACUGCACUCUAGCUUGAGUGACAGACUGAGACCCUGUCUCCAAAAUUAAAUAAAUAAAUAAAUAAAGAAGGAAAAAGAAAAAAAACAAAAAUGGAGAUUUAGAAUGGAAAAUAGGCCAGGCGUGGUGGUUCACGCCUAUAAUCCUAGCACAUUGGGAGGCUGAGGCAGGCAGAUUGCAUGAGCUCAGGAGUUCAAGACCAGCCUGGGCAACGUGGUGAAACCCCAUCUCUACCCAAAAUACAAAAAUUAGCCAGGCAUUGUGGCACAUGCCUGUGGGUCUGAGGUGGGAGGAUUGCUUGAGCCUGGAAGGUGGGGUUUUCAGUGAGCUGAGAUUGUGCCACUGCACUCCAGCGUGGCUGACAGAGUGAGAUCCCAUCUCGAAAAAUAAAUAAAUAAAUAUAGAAUGGAAAAUACAUUCUUUACAUCACAUUACAAUUUUUUUUGUAAUUGUAAUGAUAAUUACAAUUACAAAACGAGACAGAACAGGGUCUCGUUCUGUCAACUAAGCUGGGGUGGAGUGGUGUGAUCACUGCAACCUUAAACUCCUGUGCUCAAGCAAUCCUCUUGCUUCUGCCUCCCAAAAUGCUGGGAUUAAAGGUGUGAGCUGCUGCCACCACAUCCAGCUAUACUACAAAUUUUAAAGUCUUCCAAAUAUCACAAACAAAAAUCAGAAAAAUAACAAAAUAUUUUUAUUAUUUAACUGCCUGACUCCUCUAUAGUAACUCUCCCC